AAGGUACUCCCUCCGUCCCAAAAUUCUUGUCUUAGAUUUAUCUAAAUACGGAUGUAUCAAGUCAUGUUUUAGUAUUAGAUACACCCGUAUCUAGACAAAUCUAGGACAAGAAUUUUGGGACGGAGGGAGUAAUUA
rnacentral:pre_miRNA from 1 species